GUCGAACGGAAGUAAGAGACGGGAAGGGGCAGUUUACUGCAACGGCACAAUUUUUACUUUAGUGGCGGACGGGUGAGUAACGCGUGGGUAACCUGCCUUAUACAGGGGGAUAACACUUAGAAAUAGGUGCUAAGACCGCAUAACGCCCAGGGCCGCAUGGCCCAGGGUGAAAAACUCCGGUGGUAUAAGAUGGGCCCGCGUCUGAUUAGCCAGUUGGCAGGGUAACGGCCUACCAAAGCGACGAUCAGUAGCCGGCCUGAGAGGGUGGACGGCCACAUUGGGACUGAGACACGGCCCAAACUCCUACGGGAGGCAGCAGUGGGGGAUAUUGCACAAUGGGGGAAACCCUGAUGCAGCGACGCCGCGUGAGUGAAGAAGUAUUUCGGUAUGUAAAGCUCUAUCAGCAGGGAAGAAAGAAGACGGUACCUGAGUAAGAAGCCCCGGCUAACUACGUGCCAGCAGCCGCGGUAAUACGUAGGGGGCAAGCGUUAUCCGGAUUUACUGGGUGUAAAGGGAGCGUAGACGGCAAGGCAAGCCUGGAGUGAAAGGCGGGGGCCCAACCCCCGGACUGCUCUGGGAACUGUCUAGCUAGAGUGCAGGAGGGGUAAGUGGAAUUCCUA
rnacentral:rRNA from 1 species